rnacentral:rRNA from 1 species
UAAGCGUGCGCAGGCGGUUGUGCAAGACAGAUGUGAAAUCCCCGGGCUCAACCUGGGAAUUGCAUUUGUGACUGCACGGCUAGAGUGUGUCAGAGGGGGGUAGAAUUCCACGUGUAGCAGUGAAAUGCGUAGAUAUGUGGAGGAAUACCGAUGGCGAAGGCAGCCCCCUGGGAUAACACUGACGCUCAUGCACGAAAGCGUGGGGAGCAAACAGGAUUAGAUACCCGAGU